rnacentral:rRNA from 1 species
GAUGAACGCUAGCUACAGGCUUAACACAUGCAAGUCGAGGGACCGGCGCACGGGUGAGUAACACGUAUCCAACCUGCCCUUUACUCGGGGAUAGCCUUUCGAAAGAAAGAUUAAUACCCGAUAUAAAGGAUGGGGAUUCGUUCCAUUAGGUUGUUGGUGAGUGAACGGCCCACCAAGCCUUCGAUGGAUAGGGGUUCUGAGAGGAAGGUCCCACACGUUGUAACUGAGACACGUUCUAAACUCCUACGGGAGGCAGCAGGGAGGAAUAUUGGUCAAUGGGCGUUAGCCUGAACCAGCCAAGUAGCGUGAAGGAUGAAGGCUUAUGGGUCGUAAACUUCUUUUAUAGAAGAAUAUGUAUUAUAUGAAUAAGGAUCGGCUAACUCCGUGCCAGCAGCCGCGGUAAUUC